rnacentral:misc_RNA from 1 species
GCAGAUGCUAUAAGUGAUGAGACUAAGAGCUCAUCAACACCUAAGAAGCUCCUGUACUUGCUUGAGAAUGCAGGGAAAGAUUUGAAGUUUAUAAGGAUGGCUGUGCCCUUGAGAGACAUGGAGAACGAGAAUUUGCUGGAUUCUUUAGAUGUUUGUUUGGAUUUUAUCGAAGAAAGUAGAAAAGAGGGGUCUGUAUUGGUGCAUUGCUUUGCUGGUGUAUCAAGAAG